GGUUAAGUUAAUAAGGGCGCACGGUGGAUGCCUUGGCACUAGGAGCCGAAGAAGGACGUGACAAACGACGAUAUGCCUUGGGUAGCUGUAAGUAAGCGAUGAUCCAGGGAUUUCCGAAUGGGGGAACCCAACAGGUACUACCUGUUACCCAUAUCUGUUAAGGAUAUGAGGAGGAAGACGCAGUGAACUGAAACAUCUAAGUAGCUGCAGGAAGAGAAAGCAAAAGCGAUUGCCUUAGUAGCGGCGAGCGAAACGGCAGGAGGGCAAACCGAAGAGUUUACUCUUCGGGGUUGUAGGACUGCAAUGUGGACUCAAAGACUAUAGAAGAAUGGUUUGGGAAAAUCAGCCAAAGAGAGUGACAGCCUCGUAUUUAAAAUAGUCUUUGUACCUAGCAGUAUCCUGAGUACGGCGGGACACGUGAAAUCCCGUCGGAAUCUGGGAGGACCAUCUCCCAACCCUAAAUACUCCCUAGUGACCGAUAGUGAACCAGUACCGUGAGGGAAAGGUGAAAAGCACCCCGGGAGGGGAGUGAAAUAGAACCUGAAACCGUGUGCCUACAACAAGUUCGAGCCCGUUAAUGGGUGAGAGCGUGCCUUUUGUAGAAUGAACCGGCGAGUUACGAUAUGAUGCGAGGUUAAGUUGAAGAGACGGAGCCGUAGGGAAACCGAGUCUGAAAAGGGCGCUUUAGUAUUAUGUCGUAGACCCGAAACCAUGUGACCUACCCAUGAGCAGGUUGAAGGUGCGGUAAGACGCACUGGAGGACCGAACCAGGGCACGUUGAAAAGUGCUUGGAUGACUUGUGGGUAGCGGAGAAAUUCCAAACGAACUUGGAGAUAGCUGGUUCUCUCCGAAAUAGCUUUAGGGCUAGCGUCGACAUUAGAGA
rnacentral:ncRNA from 1 species